rnacentral:rRNA from 1 species
AAUCAGCCUUUAGGAUGCGAUUUUGUGGAGUGUGAGGAGCUAAUCGCCUUCAUGCCUGUAUAUUCGUGUACUUGGGGUGUACUUAUUCGUGUGGUAAGUUAACAUCAAUUUUGGUCGUCAUAAAAUGACUGGAGGAAUGUAGCUUCGAUCUCGUAUUGAAGUGUUAUAGCCUUUGGUAGAUGUGAUUAUCGGGAUUGAGGAUUGCAACGGAUACCCUUCGGGGCUACUUGUCUGAUCUCUGAUCGUUGCUCUGGUGCCGAAAGCGUGCUUACGAUUAUCAAAGUCGAUGGUUAAUAGGUUAGAACGGGUUAAAUUCGUUAAGGAUGUUGACGUA